GACGAACGCUGGCGGCGUGCUUAACACAUGCAAGUCGAACGGAAAGGCCCUGCUUUUGUGGGGUGCUCGAGUGGCGAACGGGUGAGUAACACGUGAGUAACCUGCCCUUGACUUUGGGAUAACUUCAGGAAACUGGGGCUAAUACCGGAUAGGAGCUCUUGCUGCAUGGUGGGGGUUGGAAAGUGUCGGCGGUUGGGGAUGGACUCGCGGCUUAUCAGCUUGUUGGUGGGGUAGUGGCUUACCAAGGCUUUGACGGGUAGCCGGCCUGAGAGGGUGACCGGCCACAAGAGGACUGAGAUACGGACCAGACUCGUACCGGAGGCAGCAGUGGGGAAUAUUGCGCAAUGGGCGGAAGCCUGAUGCAGCAGCGCCGCGUGCGGGAUGACGGCCUUCGGGUUGUAAACCGCUUUCGCCUGUGACGAAGCGUGAGUGACGGUAAUGGGUAAAGAAGCACCGGCUAACUACGUG
rnacentral:rRNA from 1 species